rnacentral:lncRNA from 1 species
UGAAAAGUUACAGAAGUGUCUUUUCCAUCUUUGUAACAUAUAAUAUUUUCUCAGCCCAACUUGCAGGUACUCCCAGUCUGCAGGUCUUCCAGAAAUGGAGCAAGGCAUCCCACUGCCACUCAGUUUGAUGGGAGAACAAAGUGAUCUACUCCUGACAGUCAUCAUCCCUAGGAUAAUGAAGCAAACAUGGAUGGUUCCUUGGCUGGUGCAGCCUUGCAAUUUCAUCUCUUGUCAAGAGUUUACUGUGGUAUGUCAGCUCUGGACUUGGACUUUAAUAAGGUCUCACAAUCUUCACUCCAGUUGCCUUUCCCAGAGGCAGGGAAGUCAGCACGAACAGAGCACUGAGCUGGGCACAGGUGUUGCAUCUCAUUUGGUUAUUGUUGCUUGAGGAGCAGAGGUGCUCUUGUUGAUGAAUCAGCAUCUGUAUUCUGCACUUGAGGUUGGAGUGUACCCGCAGCAAGUUUGCUGAUGGCACCAAGCUGAGUGGUGCAGUUCACACAACAGAAGAGAAGGAUGCCAUCCAGAGGGACCUGGACACACUCAAAAGGUGGACAGACAAGAAGGUGAGGUUUAACAAGGUUGAGACAAUUCCAGAUAUGAGUACAUACUGGAGGAAGAACUCAUUGAGAGCAGCCCUGCCGAAGAGGUCUUGGGGGUCAUGAUGGACAAGAAGCUGGACAUGAGCCAGCAGUGUGCUCUUGCAGCCUGGAAGGCCAACAGUGUCCUGGGCUGCAUCAAAAGAGGGGUGGCCAACAGGGUGAGCGAGGAGAUUGUCCCCCUCUGCUCAGCUCUUGUGAGGCCCCAUCUGGAGCACUGCGUCCAGGUCUGGGGCCCUCAAGACAGGAAAGACAUGGAGCUGUAGGAGAGGGACCAGAGGAGGGCCACAAAGACGAUCAGAGGGCUGGAGCACCUCUCCUAUAAAGACAGGUUGAGGAGUUGGGCUUGUUUAGCUUGGAGAAGAAAAUACUCUAGGGAGACAUUGUUGAAGCCUUCCGGUACUUGAAGGGAGCUUACAAGCAGGAAAAAAAUCAAUUUUUUUAAAUGGAUAGAUAGUGAUAGGGCAAGGUGGAGCAAUUUUAAUCUAAAAGUGGGGAGAUUUAGGUUAGAUGUCAGGAAUAAAUUAUUUACUCAGAAGGUAGUGAGGCA